GCUCCAGUGGCCUAGAGGUUGGAGCGUCCGCCUCGGAUGCGAAAGGUCGUGGGUUCUAUUCCCGGUCGAGUCGUAGCA